GAUGAACGCUGGCGGCGUGCCUAAUACAUGCAAGUCGAGCGAACGGACGAGAAGCUUGCUUCUCUGAUGUUAGCGGCGGACGGGUGAGUAACACGUGGAUAACCUACCUAUAAGACUGGGAUAACUUCGGGAAACCGUAGCUAAUACCGGAUAAUAUUUUGAACCGCAUGGUUCAAAAGUGAAAGACGGUCUUGCUGUCACUUAUAGAUGGAUCCGCGCUGCAUUAGCUAGUUGGUAAGGUAACGGCUUACCAAGGCAACGAUGCAUAGCCGACCUGAGAGGGUGAUCGGCCACACUGGAACUGAGAAACGGUCCAGACUCCUACGGGAGGCCAGAGUAGGGAAUCUUCCGCAAUGGGCGAAAGCCUGACGGAGCAACGCCGCGUGAGUGAUGAAGGUCUUCGGAUCGUAAAACUCUGUUAUUAGGGAAGAACAUAUGUGUAAGUAACUGUGCACAUCUUGACGGUACCUAAUCAGAAAGCCACCGCUAACUACGUG
rnacentral:rRNA from 1 species